ensembl:lncRNA
GCCAUCUGCUGGCGAAGAGAAGCCAUUGUAAUGCAGCAUGGCAAAUAUCUUAUUUACAUAAAUCAAUUUGGCUGGCAGUGGCAAAUUGUACUGCUCUUUUUGUCAGUGAGUGACAACACUAAUGUUCACCAAAUAAGUGAUUAGCAGCUAAAUUGAGAAUUAAAUAGUGCGUUGUUGCAUCUCUAACUAGAUCAAUAGAUGAAUGUUUACAGACUGGGCACGUGCAGCUAAUCCUAACUGCUCGAGGUAAGUAGGGCUCGAGACUGUCCGUUAACUAGUCAGCAGCAUUUUUUGAGAGACUAACUUUUGCUAGCUAACUUCAAAUUAUUGUUGAUAAACGGGCAUAGAAAUAAAAUGCCAGGUGCUGUUCAGUUCAAGGCUGUUUACGUGCCAAGUUUUGGAUCUCAAUCCUCACGAUGUAGUCAAAAAGAUGGACAGCAAACGAAUGAGUACUUGAUCGAGUUGUCCAGCUCAAGGAGAAGACAAGAUACAUUGUCAACAAAAAAGAUCAAAUUAACGAAGUGUAACAGCAAGCCUGCACUGUCCAAGAAGAAACGAAAGGAUGAGAGAAGGUCGAUGCCUCCACCACGACCCGUGAUAGAGACCGCUGCCCGAUGUCAAGGUGAAGGAGAGAGAUCACAGAGACGGAGAAGUCCUAGCGUUGGCCAAAGAUGCACUCCUCAGAGCAUGAUGAAUGAAGACCUCUUCACCUUCUACCAGAGAGACGAGCACACGUCAACCAACCAACCUGUAAAUUUGAUGCUGUAUUACAAAUAUGUCUGAUUUAUUUGUGUGGUUUGUGUCUGUUGCCUCCAUUUCCUGGCAGUCUGGCAGCUGUUGAAUUGUGUUACCUGUCACAGACCUAACGUUAUUAAACUACUGUACGGUCUCUAACCUACAACGUUUUUAUAUGAUGUUGAUGUGGGCUUUGCCAUAACUCUGUUACUUCUCUCUCCUCCCCAGCAGUGGGCAGCCAGACAGGCUGUGUUAAGGACCAUCGGUAGGAUGCUGCAGGAGAACAGAAGCAUCAGAGAGAGACUGGUCUCCCUCAGCCAUAGCAUAGGCUAUACAUUGAACUCAGUCUGAAGACUAGAUUACAAUCUGGGAAUGAUACAUAGAUUAUGGAACUUCUCUUUCCCUCUCAAACUCAGGAAUGGAAUAUUUUUUAUUUGUUUCCCUUCAAUGUUAUGAUUUUGUUUUAACCAAGUUUAUGGACUACCUGGCAAAUGUGCUGAUUUGAGAUGGAAUGAAGAUGAGGUUAUUUAUGUUACCUGAAACUAAACCUGUACUGUACAUCUCGAGCAAUCUGUUCCUAUAGUUUCCUCUGGUUGAAGAAAUAGACUAAUAUACGUUGGUUUUGAUGGGGAACACACAGAUUUUUACUGUUGUCAACUAUUUUGACUGUUGUCAUGGGGAACAAAGAGUUCUGAAUUAAAACAACUUCUUGAGGAGAAAGUGUUGUUAAUUUCUGUUAUGUCUGGUGAGCUAUAACAGGUCAACCCACCCUCCUGGAGUGCUACUACUGGGUAUGAAGGCUGUUGCACCAGCCCUUCUUCCUCAUGGAGAACCUCACCUCUUUUUCCACUAGAGGGAAGUGUCUCUAUUUUGUGUGUGUGUGGGUGUGUUAGAUACUGUACACUCAGCCACCUAAAGGUAGAAUACACAGGUCAGCCACAGCUCAACUUUCUCAGUCAGAGGUUCUCAGUAGAGCCUGUGAGUGUCCAAAAUGGCACCUUAAUCCCUUUAUAGUGCACUACUUAUGAACAGAACCCUAUGUGUUUCUGUUCCCUGCUCAUUAUUAGUGAAUUAACAACCCACAGCCAACAUGUGGUUCUGUUUCCUGCUCCUUAUUAGUGAAUUAACAACCCACAGCCAACAUGUGGUUCUGUUUCCUGCUCCUUAUCAGUGAAUUAACAACCCACAGCCAACAUGUGUUUCUGUUUC